rnacentral:ncRNA from 1 species
UACCUGGUUGAUUCUGCCAGUAGUCAUAUGCUUGUCUCAAAGAUUAAGCCAUGCAUGUCUAAGUAUAAGCAAUUAUACCGCGAAACUGCGAAUGGCUCAUUAUAUAAGUUAUCGUUUAUUUGAUAGUACCUUACUACUUGGAUAACCGUGGUAAUUCUAGAGCUAAUACAUGCUAAAAAUCCCGACUUCGGAAGGGAUGUAUUUAUUAGAUUAAAA